CUUCCUACCGACUCAUUAUCUCCUCUCUAUCAAAGUCGCUACUUUUUUUUUGACCAACGAACAAAAUUCCAAUCUGCAGCACCAAAUCUUAAAAGCAAGGAAAGGAAGUAAAUGCUUGAACAUUUUUACCAUCUAUUAAAGAGGUAAUUGUAGACAUAGUAACAAAAUGCCAAAACAGAAAUAGAAGAAAAAAAUGUGACGACAUCAACCAAACUUCACAACAAUUUUUGGAAGAAUUUUAUGAUUGUAACAACCGACCAGCAAAGGAUAAGAGGUUGCCGGAAAAUUAAAAGUCACUGGACCUCCAUUUUCUUGGCCAGAUCAUCACAUUUUCUGGCAUGAAAAUAAUAAAAUGACCAAACGAUAUCAAGGUGGCGUUGCUUCGACAGCAAAUAGCGCCGAAACAAUGACCAAAUAGAGGCUCAAUGUGUCGCUGGAGUUUGAGUUUUGACUGGUCAGAUCUAGUCGUUUCCAUCCAGAUUUAGCCAUUCAGCCAUCCAGAUCUAUUGAAAGCCAUUAUUUUUACUAUUUUUACACUUUGUUUGCACCAUUACUCUUAUCUUUGUUCAGGUAAAUAUUCUCUUUUUGAUUUUGUUUUUCUUUCUCUUGAGGAAUUUUGAUAUAGGAAUUCUUGUCUGACUGAUACCUUGAUUUUCAUACUUUUGGGUCAAUAAUAAAUUGAUAUGAUUUUAGGGUUUAGAUUUCAGUAUUUUUUAGGGAUUUACGUUACUAAUACAUUGAUAAGAAAUGUUCCAGCAAUAACUGGUUUUUACAUCUUUGAUUUUAUGGAAAAAGUAAAAGUUGUAUUGAAAAUUAUAGUUUUUACAUCCUUGAUUUUAGCUAUGUGUUUUAGUCUUUAGAAAGAAAAUGGGAGUUCAAAGAUUUGUAUUCUGUUGAGUAUUUCAAAGACCGUAUGGAAAAUGUGUGUCUAUGGUAAUAAAAAUAAUGAAGUGCAGUAGCUAAAGUAACAGAAUGAGGGAGAAGAACAAUGUUCAUUCGGCCAUUCUCAGUAUUCUUGUGUUAGUUACUCUACAAAGUGUAUAUUGUGACAAUUCUUAUCGAUAUUACACUUGGAAAAUCAUUUAUGGAGACUUUUAACCUUUGGGCGUCAAACAACAGGUAAAUCUCAUUCUUUAAAUGUAUGUUUGUUGAAAUUUCAUGGAUUCUUAUUCAGGUGAUUUUAACACUAUGUUACAGAUCCAGGGACACAGAUUGACUGUGUUACAAAUGACUAUUUGAUUAUCAGUGUCUACAACUACUUGAAUGAGCCUUUCCUCAUUUCUUGGCCUUAUUAGGUAUCACUCAUUGCUCUGCUAGUGUCACAUAGAUAAUGGAACACCUAAACCAUCAUACAAAUGGUGUAAGGUCUUGCUCAAAGUUAGUGGCGAAGCUCAUGAAGGAGGUCAUGCACAGAACGCUGACCCCAAUGUAAGAAGAGGAAAGUUGAUAGGAGAUGAUGACAUUUUAGAAAAUUUAUUUGCACACCCACCAUUUAUGGCAAUACUAUUAGUAGAAUUCUCUGAAAGAGUCGACGUUCCACCAUUUAUGGCAAGGGUUUAGGUUGUUAAAAAGGGUCGAGAUCCAACACCAAGUGAGAUACAUUUGCACGCCCCAUACGCAUGGUAAUUAUGGAAAAUAUUUUGUUGGUGAGAAAUUCUGAAUCGUACAUGAAAAAUAUCAGGAAAUAUUACAACAACAAGCACAGAGUUAAUAUGAUAUUGAUAACUUUGAUGUGGCAACUAUAGUUCCUACCUCUUCUACUGAUGCUAACUUUGAUGAGGUUCAUGCAUUGAGUUCUGAUGAUGACCAUGACUCUCCAGCCUUGCAUAGUUAGCCUACUUUGUUUAGACUUUAUUGUUGGUACUUUUAGAUGUUUUGUACUUAACGACACAGUUAUAGCAUUAUGCUAUAUAUUUUGGAUCUUGUUGAAUAUUAAUUUAUAUUAAUAUCAGUCAUUUUUAAUUAA